rnacentral:misc_RNA from 1 species
AAGUCGUAACAAGGUUUCCGUAGGUGAACCUGCGGAAGGAUCAUUGACAAAUCUAAACAGUUGCUUGGAUAGCAAGGCUAACACCUACUUUUCAAGUUAACACAUUCUAACCUGUGAAUCGGCAGCACGCAAGUGUUGUUAGAGCGUGUGAGUGUCUGCUAAUUUAUAUUAGCAGACAACUGCUCCUCUACAUUUACGUAACCAAUUGUCUUAACAAACUAAAACAAUACAACUUUUAGCAAUGGAUCUCUUGGCUUCU